rnacentral:rRNA from 1 species
AGGCUGCAACUCGCCUGCAUGAAGUUGGAAUUGCUAGUAAUCGCGAAUCAGAAUGUCGCGGUGAAUACGUUCCCGGGCCUUGUACACACCGCCCGUCACACCAUGAGAGUCGAUAACACCCGAAGCCUGUGAGCUAACCGCAAGGAGGCAGCAGUCGAAGGUGGGGUUGAUGAUUGGGGUGAAGUCGUAACAAGGUAUC